rnacentral:rRNA from 1 species
UAGAGGCGUGCUCGAAAGAGAGCCGUAACACAGGUGCUGCAUGGCUGUCGUCAGCUCGUGUCGUGAGAUGUUGGGUUAAGUCCCGCAACGAGCGCAACCCUUGUCAUUAGUUGCUACAUUCAGUUGGGCACUCUAAUGAGACUGCCGGUGACAAGCCGGAGGAAGGUGGGGAUGACGUCAAGUCCUCAUGGCCCUUAUAGGUGGGGCUACACACGUCAUACAAUGGCUGGUACAAAGGGUUGCCAACCCGCGAGGGGGAGCUAAUCCCAUAAAGCCAGUCGUAGUCCGGAUCGUAGUCUGCAACUCGACUACGUGAAGUCGGAAUCGCUAGUAAUCGUGGAUCAGAAUGUCACGGUGAAUACGUUCCCGGGUCUU